UGAUUACAGAGAAAGAGCACCCUGACACU
rnacentral:piRNA from 1 species